UUCCGGUUGAUCCUGCCGGACCCGACUGCUAUCAGAGUGAGAUUAAGCCAUGCGAGUCAACGUAGCAAUACGUGGCAUACGGCUCAGUAACACGUAGUCAACAUAACCAAAGGACGUGGAUAAACUCGGGAAACUGAGGCUAAACCGCGAUAGACCAAGAUACCUGGAAUGGUUUUUGAUUAAAAUCUAUAUGGCCUUUGGAUUGGACUGCGUCCGAUCAGGCUGUUGGUGAGGUAAUGGCCCACCAAACCUAUAACCGGUACGGGCUCUGAGAGGAGGAGCCCGGAGAUGGGUACUGAGACAAGGACCCAGGCCCUAUGGGGCGCAGCAGGCGCGAAACCUCUGCAAUAGGCGAAAGCUUGACAGGGUUACUCUGAGUGACUUUCGCUAAGAAAGUCUUUUGACACCUCUAAAAAUGGUGUAGAAUAAGGGGUGGGCAAGUCUGGUGUCAGCCGCCGCGGUAAUACCAGCACCCCGAGUGGUCGGGACGAUUAUUGGGCCUAAAGCAUCCGUAGCCGGCCUUACAAGUCCCCCGUUAAAUCCAACUGCUUAACAGAUGGGCUGCGGAGGAUACUAUAAGACUAGGAGGCAGGAGAGGCAAGCGGUACUCAGUGGGUAGGGGUAAAAUCCGUUGAUCCAUUGAAGACCACCAGUGGCGAAGGCGGCUUGCCAGAAUGCGCUCGACGGUGAGGGAUGAAAGCUGGGGGAGCAAACCGGAUUAGAUACCCGGGUAGUCCCAGCUGUAAACGAUGCAGACUCGGUGAUGGACUAGCUUAAUGCUAGUCCAGUGCCGCAGGGAAGCCGUUAAGUCUGCCGCCUGGGUAGUACGGUCGC
rnacentral:rRNA from 1 species